UACGAGGGGGGCGAGCGUUGUUCGGAAUUAUUGGGCGUAAAGGGUGCGUAGGCGGUUUGAUAAGUCUGAUGUGAAAUCUAUGGGCUCAACCCAUAGCCUGCAUUAGAAACUGUCGGGCUUGAGUAUGGGAGAGGUGAGUGGAAUUUCCGGUGUAGCGGUGAAAUGCGUAGAUAUCGGAAGGAACACCUGUGGCGAAAGCGGCUCACUGGACCAUUACUGACGCUGAUGCACGAAAGCUAGGGGAGCAAACAGGAUUAGAUACCCUGGUAGUCCUAGCCCUAAACGAUGAUUGCUUGAUGUGGAGGGUACCCAAUCCUUCCGUGUCGUAGCUAACGCGAUAAGCAAUCCGCCUGGGGAGUACGGUCGCAAGGCUGAA
rnacentral:rRNA from 1 species